GACAGAGGUGCCGAGCGUUAGGCGGAAUCACUGGGCUUAAAGCGUGUGUAGGCGGGCCGUUAAGUGUCUUGUGAAAUCCCCCGGCUCAACCGGGGAAUUGCUGGGCAUACUGGCGGUCUUGAGCAAUCUAGGGGCAGAUGGAACAAGUGGUGGAGCGGUGAAAUGCGUAGAUAUCACUUGGAACGCCAAAGGUGAAGACAGUCUGCUGGGGAUCUGCUGACGCUGAGACACGAAAGCCAGGGGAGCGAACGGG
rnacentral:rRNA from 1 species